rnacentral:rRNA from 1 species
GACGAACGCUAGCGGCGUGCCUAAUACAUGCAAGUCGAGCGGAUGGAAGGAAGCUUGCUUCCUAAAGUCAGCGGCGGACGGGUGAGUAACACGUGGGCAACCUGCCCCUAAGAUCGGGAUAACUUCGGGAAACCGGAGCUAAUACCGGAUAUGACUAUGUCUCACAUGAGACAUAAUGGAAAGACGGUUUCGGCUGUCACUUAGGGAUGGGCCCGCGGCGCAUUAGCUAGUUGGUGAGGUAACGGCUCACCAAGGCGACGAUGCGUAGCCGACCUGAGAGGGUGAUCGGCCACACUGGGACUGAGACACGGCCCUGACUCCUACGGGAGGCAGCAGUAGGGAAUCUUCCGCAAUGGACGAAAGUCUGACGGAGCAGCGCCGCGUGAGUGAAGGAGGUUUUCGGAUCGUAAAACUCUGUUGUUAGGGAAGAACAAGUACCAUAGUAACUGAUGGUACCUUGACGGUACCUAACUAGAAAGCCACGGCUAACUACGUGCCAGCAGCCGCCGUAAAAC